GUCGACCGGCGCACGGGUGAGUAACGCGUAUCCAACCUGCCCACCACUUGGGGAUAACCUUUGCGAAAGUAAGACUAAUACCCAAUGAUAUCUCUAGAAGACAUCUGAAAGAGAUUAAAGAUUUAUCGGUGAUGGAUGGGGAUGCGUCUGAUUAGCUUGUUGGCGGGGUAACGGCCCACCAAGGCGACGAUCAGUAGGGGUUCUGAGAGGAAGGUCCCCCACAUUGGAACUGAGACACGGUCCAAACUCCUACGGGAGGCAGCAGUGAGGAAUAUUGGUCAAUGGGCGAGAGUCUGAACCAGCCAAGUAGCGUGCAGGAUGACGGCCCUAUGGGUUGUAAACUGCUUUUAUAAGGGAAUAAAGUGAGUCUCGUGAGACUUUUUGCAUGUACCUUAUGAAUAAGGACCGGCUAAUUCCGUGCCAGCAGCCGCGGUAAUACGGAAGGUCCGGGCGUUAUCCGGAUUUAUUGGGUUUAAAGGGAGCGUAGGCCGGAGAUUAAGCGUGUUGUGAAAUGUAGACGCUCAACGUCUGCACUGCAGCGCGAACUGGUUUCCUUGAGUACGCACAAAGUGGGCGGAAUUCGUGGUGUAGCGGUGAAAUGCUUAGAUAUCACGAAGAACCCCGAUUGCGAAGGCAGCUCACUGGAGCGCAACUGACGCUGAAGCUCGAAAGUGCGGGUAUCGAACAGGAUUAGAUACCCUGGUAGUCCGCACGGUAAACGAUGGAUGCCCGCUGUUGGUCUGAACAGGUCAGCGGCCAAGCGAAAGCAUUAAGCAUCCCACCUGGGGAGUAC
rnacentral:rRNA from 1 species